GCCAUUUCCACCUUGUGGUCUACAACUCUUCAUCCCGACUGCAUGGAGGUUGGUCUCUCUCUUCAGCUGGAUUUAGGCCACCAUCUGAGCCCCCGGGGUACGUUUUGUCUGACCCUGGCGCCAUUCGAACGGUUCUUCUACAGCAUCAGGCGUUCACCUGGCUCCUAGGGCUUUUGUGCUGUAGGCCUAUAUUUCCAGCUACUUUUGGAAAAAAUCUCUCUGGAGGCUCAAUGAGCUUGUCACAUCAGCCUGCCCAGAGUAUCAAGAAAGACUUAAUCAGCAGUGAAUACUCUCCACCAAGCCCUUGACCCAUUGUCAGUCUCUGGCAUCAGAUCCUUUCCAGUAGGGCAAAGUGCAACUGCAGCCAGCUCAUGCCUUCAAGAGAAGGACUGAAGAUCAUUGUGUGCCUAAACCAAUUCUCUUUCCUGCCACCAUGUGAAGAAGGACAUGUUUGCUUCCCCUUCUGCCAUGAAUGGACAGGGUCCUGCUGUGUUGCCCAGGCUGGCCUUGAACUCCUGGCUUCAAACAGUCUUCCCACUUGGGCUCCCAAAGUGCUGGGAUUAAAGGGGCGAGUUACAGCACCAGGACCUGAAAUGCAUCAUGUGUCAUUCUCACAGCUGUUAGGACUUCAAUGAUGUUAUAAGGAAGUUGGGGCUCAGAGAAGCUACAGAACUUACCCAAGGACACACAGCCAUCACGAAAAACAUGGCCAGCAAAGCAGGUGAGGCAAAGAUCAGGAAGGACAUUAAACGCCAAACUAAGGAGCGGAACUGAAUGAGCAGUGAAGGGGAACAAUGGCUUCAGCAGGUCCACUGGGCUCCUCUUUUCUGUCAGCCUCCCCCUACCCCUCACCUCUGUACUACUCAUGUUACUAUCUACGUCUCUUCACCAAUGUCAUUGUGGAAAUAAAAGCUUAUCUGUAAGAG
rnacentral:lncRNA from 1 species